rnacentral:tRNA from 1 species
AAAGGUAUAGCUCAGUGGUAGAGUGCAUGCCUGCCAUGCCUGAGGUGCUGGGUUUAAUCCCCAGUACCUCCA